rnacentral:rRNA from 1 species
UGGGGAAUAUUAGGCAAUGGGGGAAACCCGUGACCUAGCGACGCCGCGUGAAGGAUGAAGGUUUUCGGAUUGUAAACUUCUUUGGCAGAGGACGAUAAUGACGGUACUCUGAGAACAAGCCACGGCUAACUACGUGCCAGCAGCCGCGGUAAUACGUAGGUGGCGAGCGUUGUCCGGAUUUACUGGGUGUAAAGGGCGAGUAGGCGGGCUAACAGGUCAGAUGUGAAAUACCGAGGCUCAACUUCGGGGCUGCAUUUGAAACUGUUAGUCUUGAGUGAUGGAGAGGCAGGCGGAAUUCCCAGUGUAGCGGUAAAAUGCAUAGAGAUUGGGAGGAACACCAGUGGCGAAGGCGGCCUGCUGGACAUUAACUGACGCUGAGGAGCGAAAGUGUGGGGAGCAA